rnacentral:rRNA from 1 species
GAAUGUAAUACGACUCACUAUAGGGCGAAUUGGGCCCGACGUCGCAUGCUCCCGGCCGCCAUGGCGGCCGCGGGAAUUCGAUUAGAGUUUGAUCCUGGCUCAGGACGAACGCUAGCGGCGCGCUUAACACAUGCAAGUCGAACGCCAGCAAUGGCGUGGCGAACGGGUGAGUAGCACGUGGAUAAUCUGCCCUCGAGUGGGGGACAAGCCCGGGAAACUGGGUCUAAUACCGCAUUCGGCCUUCCUUACACAUGUAGGGGAGAUCAAAGCCUUCGGGCGCUCGGGGAUGAGUCCGCGACCUAUUAGCUUGUUGGUAGGGUAACGGCCUACCAAGGCUACGAUGGGUAGCUGGUCUGAGAGGACGACCAGCCACACUGGGACUGAGAUACGGCCCAGACUCCUACGGGAGGCAGCAGUGAGGAAUAUUCGGCAAUGGACGAAAGUCUGACCGAGCGACGCCGCGUGAGUGACGAAGCCCUUAGGGGUGUAAAACUCUUUUGUCGGGGAAGAAUACCGGUUACGGCCGGGGAGACGGUACCCGAAGAAUAAGCA